GACGUAGGUGGCAAGCGUUAUUCGGAAUUACUAGGCGUAAAGCGAGUGUAGGCGGGCGCUUAAGUCUGUUGUGAAAUCUCCCGGCUCAACUGGGAGGGGUCAAUGGAUACUGGGUGUCUAGAGUGAGGUAGGGGGCAGUGGAAUUCCUGGUGUAGCGGUGAAAUGCGUAGAUAUCAGGAGGAACACCUAUGGCGAAAGCAUCUGCCUGGGCCUUUACUGACGCUGAGACUCGAAAGCUAGGGGAG
rnacentral:rRNA from 1 species